GGUACGCUGCAGGAAGUGAGCGGCUCAGGAAAGUUGUGUGGAGAGACAAACAGUUAAUGUCCAGAGACAGUAGGAACUGCAGAUGCUGGAGAAUCCGAAACAACAAGGUGCAGAGCUGGAUGAACACAGCAGGCCAAGCAACAUCAUAGAAGAGUCUGAUCUAACUCUUGUUCAGGACUGGAAGACGCUGGAAAAUGCCAGUUUUUGUGUUGUCCACCGAGGGGGGAAGGAAGAGCGAGGGGAACAGAUGCUACUUAGGGAGCUCCUGACUCAACAGAAUUCCAAACUCCUGUCUCAUCCAUCACCACGCAGAAGACAGUCAACCAGCCAGAAAGAUGGGAGAGUAUGAUCUCAAACCUUCAGUAAAUCGUGCAGGGUGGUCAUCUCGACGCCAAAUCCUCUGGGAGCGGGUCGGAAGGCAAAGCAGGAGUCUGUUUGAGUAUAUAACGGAGUAAACUUACUGGUGCAGAGAACACUGCGAAACUGAAAAAAAAACUAAUUAAUUAAAAAUAAUUAACUAAGU